GAGAACCUAGUAAAUACUAUAUUACAUAGCUCUGUCGCAGCUAAAUAACAAACUCUGUGGCUCUCC
rnacentral:tRNA from 1 species